rnacentral:rRNA from 1 species
AUUGAACGCUGGCGGCAGGCCUAACACAUGCAAGUCGAACGAGUGGCGGACGGGUGAGUAAUGUCUGGGAAACUGCCCGGUGGCGGGGGAUAACUACUGGAAACGGUAGCUAAUACCGCAUACCAUCGGAUGUGCCCAUAUGGGAUUAGCUAGUUGGUGGGGUAAAGGCUCACCUAGGCGACGAUCCGUAGCUGGUCUGAGAGGAUGACCAGCCACACUGGAACUGAGACACGGUCCAGACUCCUACGGGAGGCAGCAGUGGGGAAUAUUGGACAAUGGGGGAAAGCCUGAUGCAGCCAUGCCGCGUGUAUGAAGAAGGCCUUCGGGUUGUAAAGUACUUUUAGCGAGGAGGCGUUACUCGAAGAAGAAGCAACGGCUAACUCCGUGCCAGCAGCCGCGGUAAUAC